UUUUUUUUAAUUGCCGUCGUCAUUACAUAACCAGUCCACCCUAGCUCGUUGGAGCCAAUGCAGUUCCAGCAGGUGUUCAGUCAAGUCUGCUAGCUUGUUCCUUUCUUUUCAUGUCACAUUCAUCAUUAGUCAUAGGCCCUUUCGUCACACGUGCAAUCUCUUUCUCUGCCUGUUUAAGCUUCUUUUUCUGGGUUUUAACUACCCGUCAAUCCUAGUUAUGAAAGCUCUAAUGCAUCAUACGAAGCUUCCCCAGUAUGGCAUUCCCCUGCACAUUCAAAAACGAUUCAUCCCAUGCUUGCAUGACCACUAGUUGCACUACCGAAUUUUCCCAAGAUAAUUUUCACCAGUAGCUAAUCUAGAACUUCGGAAACAAAACAGAAAACUACAUGUAACACUACUCUCAACAGUCAUAUAUUGAUUUGUUGCUUUAUGUUUAAGCACCAUACAUAGGUUUUUACACCCAGACAAGUUUACUCAACAACGAGAUAAUAUCUGCAUGGUAAUGACCACACAAUUUGACAAUUUGAACCACAUAACAUGGAAGAAGAUGCUUCAAAGUUGAAAGAUAUAAAGAGGAGCAGGAGCAAGCAGGCACUUCAUUUCUCUCAACAGCUUAUUAAUGCAGACUACCUUCAUGGAGAUUCUGGCCAGUCAAAACCAGCGAAGCCUUCACCGAAUACACCACCAUAGAACCUAACUUCUAGUCACUCAAGAGCGUGAUCGUCGUCCCAUAUGGCCUCGUCAUCACCCCCGAGGGCGAAGUACUCAUUGUCCACGAACUCUUCCCAUGAGUCGAUGGAGUCAUCAUCCGAGCACUCAUCCCAGAAGUUGUUCUCAUAGAAGUCGUCCACGUGGGGGCCGAGGAUUUUCAGCCCAGGAUACUUCUCUUGCAAAAUCUUAUCACCAACAUCCCAACAGCCACGCAGAUCUAAGAAUUUGAGGUCUUCGCACCGGGAGGUGAUCUCGAGGACAGCCGUUGUCUCGAUAAGCAUGUACCCUAUCUCGAGGUGGCAGAGCUUUGGCAUGUUGUAGGCAAUAGCACGGGCCUCGUCAUUAUGGCACCCCUUCCCUGCGACAUCCAUUGGGUGCAUGACUCGGCGAAGUCUGAUGAGGGAUUUGCAAUUCUUACCGAAUGCCUCCAGAGCACGAGCGCCAAUCUUAGUGCAGCUGCUUACAUCCAGGAAUGUAACUUUAGUCAGUCUUUGUGCAGCAGCUUCCACUAUAGAGUCGCUAAUUUCGCUCCUUGGAAUCUCCAAAGUCUUGAGAGAUUGCGCACUUGCAAAACAAAACAAGGUUGGAUAAGUAAGGUUUAAUAAAAUAUUAUGGAUACGGUCAUCAGUAAACAAAGUACUAGGGUUAUAUAUAUGGUUAUGACAAAAACAAAAUCACUGGAACAUUGUCGGUUGAGGAAAUAGUUGGUAAUACCAUUUUGAACAUGUUCUUCUACACAGAUGUGCGGGGUCUGGUACCAUGUUCGCAACAUUUCUCACUAUCAGGAAACGGAUUAAGCCAGAGGAGCAUGAUUGUGCUAGUAACUUUAAUAGACCAUCUAUAACUUUGUAUUUAUAGAUUAACACACUGUAAUGAUACUACCCCAUUUUUAUUUAUGCAAUUGAAUGAAUAAUUUACAAGCAUUAACAAAAAUAAUUGCCACAAUAUAUGCACAAUUGUUUAUAAAUGAUUGGAUUCAGUGAUAAUAGAGGAUUCAGUGUAAAGACAAAUACAACCGCAAGGCAAGUAAUUCUGGAAUCAAUUAUGUUACACAUAACGUACUUGUUUUUGUUCAUCAGCACAUGUCUUUCUAAUCAAUAGACGUAUUAACAUUCGUGUCCAGUGUUUCUCACAUAUUUGGAUCCUGGAGUGUCAGAUCGUGUUCCCUAGCCCAUCUCCGCCGUCCAAUAUCUUACUUUUGGCGCUAAAACCCUACUCCCCCUUGCGCCGUUUCAUCUACCGUGGCCGCCACCUUCUUUGUUCUCGCCCCUCCUCGCCGUCGCCCUCACCCCCCUCAUCCCUAACCGCCUCAGUGAUCCAGCUCCUAUAUAAUGAAAUUACACAUCCAUCAUAUUUCCCCUGCCACAGCCACUACACCUGUGGCAAUCUAAACCAUUUUUUUUCCAAUGAAAGUCUGUAUGCAUUUUGCGAGGAUGGUACACAAUCGGAAGAACUACUCCAGCAACGUGCACAACUAAUGGUUCACCACUAACAAUAAUAAUAAUAAAAACACACAAUGUUCCCAUCUAGGUUAUCAAAUUCAAAUCUCAUGAGGAAAGGAUCAUCAAAAUAAAAAAGAUUUUGACUAAAGAAGACUACUUACUGGUCCGCGAUGAAGGCGAACAAUGAGUCGUUGGGAAGCCUGGACACACUAAGGCGGUGGCACGAGCCAGCGCUGCGAGAGAGGAGCAUAUGAACCAUCCUGAUGAUCUUGUCAGGCUCUUUCUGCUGGCUCCACUCCUGAAUGUCGAUGUCCUGCCAGCAGUCGGCCCCUGAAACCACCCGGCUCCAGGGUUUGCAAACACCCGGAACUACAGAGAGGAUCUCCUGAAGGGACAGUUUGCAAAAGAUGAUGCCUAGGGCAUCUCAUGCUUGGUCCUCCCAACAUCUGUCCUCACUGCACUCUUCCAUCCCUGAUCCUUCCGAUCCAGGACCGACCAUGCAAGUUGUAUGUCCACCUGUUUCAGGAACCAUGAUAAAUUACCCUGGGUGGUAAAAUUAUUUGCUUAAUCCACACAGUUGAAGGCUUGAAAUAGCAUAUUCAAAAUUUCAUGGCGACUUAUAUUAAUAGUAUGAAAGUGCUUUCCUACACUGAAAAAAAUCCAGUUAAUCAACAUUUAUUUCGAGAUAAUAAAUUGCCAAUAUAUAUGGCAAGAUCACCAUAAAGGAGUAUCUGUAUCAAAGGUAUGGAAAUAUAAACCCAGCGACCACGAUAAAAUUUGAAGGAAAGAAAUUACACCGAGAUGAACACAUGUGCAAGAUUUCCCUGACCUGACAAGAAAGAACUUGCAGUUCAAACGAAACUAGAGGAAGAAAUGAGAUCUGAGCGAGAUUGCUCGGAGAAGAGGUGGGAACAUGAACUGAGAUAUGGCGGACUGCCUAGAUCACCGAACCCAGAUAUUAAAAAUAGCACGAUCUUGGAUCAAAGCAAGCUGGUUACGGGGAGUGAAAACCCAAAUCAGGAAGCCUACUCAAGAACCAAACGAGAGCACCAAGAUGCGAGGACCAACCAAAAGCCAUCAGGGCCGAACCAGCGAGUACGAGGAAGGAGGACGCCGCAGAUCUGAAACAGCCCCUCCGCCAGAGACAAAAAAUUCGAGACAACCCGUCCUGGCGGGACAGUAUCGUUAACGAGGAGAGGACUGCGCGGACGUGGUGUUCUUCACGACGGCGAGAUGCUUCGGAGGGUGAGCUUACCAGGUCACGGAGGAGGAGGAGAGGUGGUGGUGGUGGCGAAUCUGUGGGAGCGUGGGGCGUCUCGGCGAUGGGGCGAGGAGGAGGAGCGAGACUGCGAGAGGGAUACAGUUGAGUGUAACGGCGAGAGGACCUUUCUCCUUUUGUUGCUCGCGCGUGCCUUUUUUUCUGGUUUGCAGGGGGAUUCCGGGGUGCGCCGCCAGGAUUCAGGCCGAGUGAGCGCCACAUCGGAGUAAUUAAUUCCUAAGUUGAAAAGCCUGAAACGUGGUGCGAUCAUAAUAAUUCCUUGACAUAAAAACGUGAUGGUAAGCUUGAACGAAGAAACUACAGAUGGAGUAGGCCAUGUUUUUUUUCAGAAAGCUGUUGAUGUUGAUACAAGAUUUACAUACAUAUGAUGCUACAGUGUGUGUGCUAGCUAGAUUUGGUAAACAGAUUUCAUCGUAUAUGGCAGAUAUCGCUUACUCUCUUUUUUUUUGCGAAAAGAUAUGGCUUACAUUAAUGUACUCAAUGUAAAUUUUAUGUUCUAUGUUUUUGCAAAAAAAAAAGAGUUUAUGUACUAUGGCUUUAGUGAUCAUGUAAACGACAUUUGGGAUAUUUUUCCCCAUAUUUCAACUAUUGCUUCUCUAACUUCACCGUUUCCCCUUUCGCGCGCUUUUUUGCUUUGAAAACACUCGAGCCAUUCACUCGUGCGGCGGCCGAAUAAUCCAACGGCCUCUGACUUCGCCCAUCAUCAUUCAAAUGUCGUCUCUGCUCUACAUGACUUGCACCCAAUGGAUGAUGCGCGUCCUCACCCACCCACCUCCCGGGCAAACAGCAGUGAGAAUAACCACAAAGUGGUUAUGUCCAAUUUGAGGAAAUUAGGUUCCUACCAAAUCAUGAAUUAGCUCUUAGCCUUGUUAUUAUCGGAAACAACGAAGAAAAGUCAACGCUGCCACCGGAAGGGACCAAAGGGCAAGAUAUUUUUCCAUGCCUACUAUUGUUCUCGCAGAUUAAGCUAAUAUAUAAUAAGUUUGAUUUAGCUAAAUGGGACUGAAUUCUUCCCACAUGAAAAAAAUUAGGAAUAUUAAUUUCUUACCGACACCCUACGACAGCCCUUUCUCGUGGUUUUUGGAUUUGAAAAGUUUGGGACCCUUCACUCAACUCACGGGCCACAAUCCAAAUGGGCUCGAAUUUGGUCCAUCAUCUUUCAAACAUCGCACCAACUCUAAAUGUCGUGUCUGCUCUACAUGACUUGCACCCAAUAAAUGGUGCAUAUCCUCACCCACCCACCUCCGGGGCAAGCAGCAGUGGGAAUAACUGUAAAGUGGGUAUGUCCAAUUUGAGAAAAUUAGGUUCCUACCAACUCAUAAAUUAGCUCUUAGGCAUGUUAUUAUCAGAAACAACGAAGAAAAGUCAAGGCUGCCACCUCAAGGGAAAAAAAGACAAGAUAUUUUCCAUGCCUACUAUGGUUCUCGCAGAUUAACCUAAUAUAAAAUAAGUUUGAUUGAGCUAAAUGGGAUUGAAUUCUUCCCACAUGAAAAAUAUUAGAAACUUUAACUUCUUACCGACGCCCUACAACCGCCCCUCUUCCCAUGGUUUUCCGAUUUGAAAAGAUUGGCACCCUUCACUCAACUCACGGGCCACAAUCCAAAUAGACUGGAAUUUGGUCUGUCAUCUCUCAAGCAUCGCACCUACUCCAAAUGUUACCAUCAAUUGGUCGUGCCUUCCGCUCGAAAGAUGGCCNNNNNNNNNNNNNNNNNNNNNNNNNNNNNNNNNNNNNNNNNNNNNNNNNNNNNNNNNNNNNNNNNNNNNNNNNNNNNNNNNNNNNNNNNNNNNNNNNNNNNNNNNNNNNNNNNNNNNNNNNNNNNNNNNNNNNNNNNNNNNNNNNNNNNNNNNNNNNNNNNNNNNNNNNNNNNNNNNNNNNNNNNNNNNNNNNNNNNNNNNNNNNNNNNNNNNNNNNNNNNNNNNNNNNNNNNNNNNNNNNNNNNNNNNNNNNNNNNNNNNNNNNNNNNNNNNNNNNNNNNNNNNNNNNNNNNNNNNAUAAUGGCAAAGUGGUGAUCUCCAUCCUAGACCUAAUAUCCAAUUAUGGCGUGCUGUCAUCCAACCCCUUGAACAAACAAGAGAAAUGUAGUCUAAAAGAAAAAACGAAGUAGAACUCAAUGGUGACACUGAUGGAGACAAAAACAGAAAAUCUUUCCUGCCUAUGCUUCUUGCAAAUUACGACAAAAUAAAUAAAUAUGUUUAAGACACAGUGAAGGAAUUUUGGGAUCAUUUUUUCUUCCAAAGUACAACCGUUACCUCCUAAACUUCUAUCAUUUGGGAAAGAACAACGAUGCCCAGCCGAACCCUCCAAAGCAGAAAUAAGAUUGACCUUUUCUUUCGAGAAGGUUUAACAUAUAGUAUGGAUCGUCAUUGAAACAUUGUGUCCGCUCUGGUUGCUUCCCUCAAGCAAUAACACCUAAUACUUAAAAAUGGCACAAAUUCUUUCCCCCACAAAUCUGAGGGCAAAUAACUACACAAUGGUUAUUUCCAUAUUGUACCAAAUUAAGGGUUGUUAUUGAAGGGGGUGAAAACAAAAGAUAUUUCAUGUUUUUUUUGGCUUCUUAUAUAUUACAUAACAUUAAAUAACAGUGAGUGAGCUAAAUGGGAUUUAUUUUUUCAGACAUGAGAAAAAUUGGAAAUUAUAAUUUCUUACUAUUCUCUCUCAUAGGCAACACCUCCCUAUCAUGGACUUUUAAUCUCUAUGACAUAUGUAUCCACAACCCAAGCCCUAACCAACGAACAUGCACCAACCCUUCUAUGAAAAAGAAAUUUUUAUUGACUUGCUAGUCAUGAAAUCCAAGUCUAUCUCCUAGAAUAGCAGCUUCUAGCAUAGGUUUUACAAAAUAAAAACACUAGAGCUUCACCAACCAAAGCAUUGAAGUGGAAUUCAUAUCACGAAAAGCCAAAAAAAGCCGUCACAUCUAGUCUGAACCAAGCAUAUGUUGUAAUAGAACCUAAGUCAACAAUGCGCACUCCAAAAGUUUUCAUACAUAUUUCCAUCGAGAAUUGCCCUGCCAAAACCAUUGCAAAAGUCCUAACACAUUAAUUACAAUCUAUCACACCACUACAUGUCGAUGGAGUCCGAACUAGUUCUUCUUUGGUGUACUUGAUAUGUUAAACCACCACUAGUAAAUCAAGGCAUCAACCACUGUAAUAAAACUUGACUUAAAAAUAGAUCCUCUAGAUCCAAAUGCCUAGAUGCCCUUCUCCACAACCCACACCAUGAUGUCUUUGAAGAUGGCAUGUGUGCAUCGAUUAGAUAUAUCCUAACAAUGUGCGGACUGACCGUCCUUCUGAAUGUCUGGCAGGACCCUGGAUCCCUAGUAUAAACGGGUUGCAAUAAGGCGACCCUCUUUCUCCUUGUUAAUCAUUGUAACUGAUGUACUACAUCAACUUACUCAUCAUGCAUUCUCUAUCGAACUCCUCACACAACCCAUCAACCAUCUUGUACCUUUUUUUACAGUAAUGAUACCCUAAUCCUUAGAAGUGCAAACGUCUCAUAAGAUGCAACAUUGUGUUCCCAUAUCCGGAAGAUUUCAGAGACGCAAGUGGUUUAGUGAUUAACUUCUGAAAAACUACAUUGAUUUCAUUUAAAGGUCGAUUAUUUCCACUCGUCCCGAAUGACCGGCCUAUUAGUUCUCUUGUCAUGCAUCCUCCUCCCCUGGUCUUAAUAUGUUCAUAAGAAUCUUACAUUAAUAGAAUUCAUUUCAAAUAUUUCUGCAAGUAUUUCGUUUAAGUGGCCGUUCACUCUACCUGGUCAUUCUAGCUCCUGCUUGCCUGCUCCUGCACCAUUAUCACAUUUCUCAUGUGACUUGUUGCUUGAUUUCAUGAUCACUCACCCACUCAUAACCAUGGAUCUAACUCGUUGGCUUUCUUCCUCAAUGGGACAAUGUCACAAUCACCAUAUCUACAUUUUCCAUGUGUUGCAGCUUUUCACACUGUGUUAACAAUCCUUCAGCAUCCUAACACCUAGACCUCGGGCACAGGUGGGCAACGCGUCCUAACUUCAUCGAAUCCCUUACCAAUAGGUUGCGGGCAUAACAAAGAAAACUAAAGUACAUGACUUGGUAGAAAAUUUGUUUUGCUUUCAGUGGUAAAUUUGUUGCCAGCGAAAAAUUGGAAGAAAGAAGAUGACAUAAAUAUUUGUAAAUUAUAUUGGAUACUUUACUUUCUAGAAGAAAACAUUGGAUGUGUUCAUUUUUUGUUGAGACGGUGAUAUUUCACUCUAGAUCGAUCUUUACUGUUGGGGUUGCUGGCCAUCUGUCACUUCAGACAAAUAAUGAAAGAAACUAUAAGUAAGGAAAUAGAAAAUUUAACCAAUUAUAUUUCUUAUAUAACAGUCACAUCAUAAAAAUAAGGAAAUAAAUAGUACGAAAUUAAUGUAUGAGGAUAAAGAAGGAAAUAAGAAUGACAAUCAAUACUAGUAUUUAUUAUAUAAUAGGCACCUGAUACAAAUAAGGAAGGCAUUAAUAUGUAAUUAAUGAAUCAUGAUAAAUAUGAAAAUAAAAGGGUAAUUUUUGACAUUUAUUAUAUAUUAUUGUUCUCCUUCCAAUCAAAUUCUCCAUCAACUCUUGUGGAUGAACUCCAAAAGUACGGCAGCGCGGUCCCUCCUAGUACCGUCUUGGCUUCUCGUGAUGGACAACACUGCAUAAUCGAGGUUAUCGCCUAGAGGUCGGAGUGACUAUAACUACUAAAAUAACUAGAUGACCCAUUGUUCCAUUGGUGUAGAGACCAACUGCAUCCCAAAAGUUAAGUAAACUAUUGGAGACAUAAAAUAGAAGUUAAGUGAACUAUUUGAAAAGUCCAACUACAACAAUGGGCGUAAAGAGAUACUGUAGCCAAGAAAAGAAGCAACUAAUACAACAAAAAAAAGAGGUCAAUUAUUUGAUGGAUGUUUAGCAUGAAUGGACUCUAGUGAUUAUGUUUGAACUGCAUUUGUACCUACCUUGUAUAUUUACUAACGACAAACAACGAUAAUUGUGGUACCUAUCCUACAUUAGCCCGCCACGGCAACCCUACAAAUGGGUCAAUACAAAUGCCGACCACACCUCCCUACGGUACCUGACCUGAACUUUUGGAUUUGAGGACUCGUACUAGCAACAACUAGGGAGACUCAAGACAAUCCGGGCAUACGACAGACCCCAAAUAUGCGGUAGCCUUCCGAAAGCACGACAUCCGGCCAAGGGGACACGAUGGCAGGAAGCCAUGGCAAAACCCGAUAGCCACCUGACAUGAAGAAAACAUCUCGCCAAGAUGUCACCCACGCACAAGACACGACGUUCACGACAUGUGCCAAAGUAUUUUGGGAUGUGAUCACGGUCUUUGAGUGCCGCGGUCUGGCCGGAUGGGGUGUUCUGGGAUGCCUUCCCCGAUUUCAAAACUAACUUUGUGAAGUCAUCAGCAUUGAUGAGACAGAGAUGAAACCUGUUGUCUCCAUUAGUUAAUUGUUUUACAAACAUGGUGUAUGGAAUUUUCAUGGAGAGGGAUCAUUAAAUUAGGCCGAGCUCACUCUGUUUGUCACACAAUAUAAUGUUAGGUGAUGCAAAACAUAUGUCAGUGCCCUGACACUCAAUAGGCUACUAUUGUUUUUGGUUUAGAACUAGGAAAACUAUGUGAAGAGUGCAAUAGAUAAAACAUGUUCCUCUCAAGCAGCGUUCAUUAUAGUCUAUUUCAUAUAGUUUGCCUGCCUUCUUUGUUGAUUAUUCAUAGACCUAUAUGUAACCGGACACCCUCCAAUGGUAUGGCGUGGUAUAUGAUUUUAGUUCGGCAUACUAUCGUAUAGGUUAACGAUGUGUUCAGAGCAGACCUGACCGUACCAUUACUCCACUUCGUGGUUGUCGUUGGUCUUUAUGCCAAUGGGCAUAAGGGUGCAUUUAUUUAAAUGUGGAUGCACACUGGCACAUGAUAAACACACACUAGUUUCUAGAAUGCCGAAUAAUAAGUUUUUUAGUUGACGUAACACCAUCAUCAUGCCUUGCAAUCUUGUGUGUGAGGCUGGUAAUUCUACACAUGUUGUCUUGUCACUGCCUCUAUACCAAAAUAAAUGAUUAUAUCCAUCAACUGUAAGCAGCUAAGCCUUCCGUAGGGGUACCAACAUGGCAAACCUUUGGUUAUAAUGUAGUUUUUGUAGGCAACUGUAGGAAGGGAUGGAGAAAUGAUAGGCUAGUUGAGGCUAUGUCAUGGCUUGCUUGAUCUGGUGCUCAUCGAGGCGGUCUCUCAAGCGGAACAAAACACUGACGAAUAAACCAUGCAUGGUUGACUGCUCUGAAGCGCGUCAACCAUGCACGGAUGCAUCCAUGACCAGGACUCACAGUGCAAUUAAUCCGACCGAGCCUGCAAGCGUUCCAUGAGAACUGGAAAAGGAACAUGGAUCAAAUUGAGUUGCAUGACAAACGAAUGUGAACCAAAACUAAACACAAUGUCACACCUAGUCAUGGAGCAGCAUGAGCCGGUGGUCCUAGCCCCAGUUUUGGAACAGGUCAUGGAUCAACUUGAGCAUCCCCUCCCGGGGCCGACCUCGGAUAACACCUUGGAAUCGCCCCCAUGGCCAUGAUGUCAGGUGAAAACUUGAGACUGAAGUGGGAUCUAACCUUGGGGUUGCUUCCCUUGGCCCUGACUUUGGAUACUAUGUAGGAGGUUGGCAAAUAAUCUGUUCCGAGCCCACUCUCCCUAUUUCCGGUGUCACACUAGGAUCAGGCGGAAUAUGAAAAGCUCGUUCUAGGCUAACUAUUAGAUCGGUUCCAGAAGUUUGCGGCAUUGGACAACCCGAUCUUGGUGUAGGAUUGGAUCUUGGAAUCCCCAGGAAAAGUUGAUUUUUUAACCCACUCACCGUCCAUCUUGUUGCCAACAUCGAAGACCUAACCGAACUCCUGGAAGGCACCAUGAACGAGAACAUGGACAUGUAUGAUGAGGUCGGCGAGUCUGCGGACAACCCGCCAAUAGCCACCGUUCCCUUAAAUAAUUGGACAUCGACCUCGCCCUAUGGCGUCUACAUGGUCGACACUGCACAUGCAACCGACAAGGCUGGAACCAACAACAGCGACAAUACCUGAUGAUGGCGCCAAUGGAAACGACAUCACCAUGAAUAGUGGCGGCAACAAACCUGACAGUCCUCCAUGCGGCGAGGUAGAUGACCCUCAAAGCAACCUCGGUCCCAAAGACAAGGAUAUAUUAAAUGUGUCGCUUAGUAGCCACGCCACGACGUGUUAAGGUGAAAGCUAGUCACGGAGGUGCUCAUAUGUAUAGGGUGUGAGUGCGUGCAUUAAUGGCGGUGAGUGUAUGUGUAUAUGUAUGAGUGUCUGCGUCUGUACUGCAUNNNNNNNNNNNNNNNNNNNNNNNNNNNNNNNNNNNNNNNNNNNNNNNNNNNNNNNNNNNNNNNNNNNNNNNNNNNNNNNNNNNNNNNNNNNNNNNNNNNNNNNNNNNNNNNNNNNNNNNNNNNNNNNNNNNNNNNNNNNNNNNNNNNNNNNNNNNNNNNNNNNNNNNNNNNNNNNAGAAAGCGCUUCUGCGCACAAUUAAAAUAUAAGGAGGCAAUGGAUCCCCUUGUCUCGAACCCCUAGUAGGUUGGAAGUUAUCGAUCUCCUGAGAAUUAUACAUGAUAGUAUAUUGUACCGACGAGAUACAAGUCAUCAUAAAAAAAACCAAUUCUCUUGGAAUCCCAAACUUAACAUAAUAUUCCUGAAGAAACUCACUCAAAUCUGUCGUAUGCCUUGUGCAUAUCCAGCUUGUCCGCACAUAAAUCUUUGUUCCUCUUUCUCUUAUUUUUUAUCUUGUGUGUGCACUCUUAGGCAAUAAGCACAUUGUCUGUUAUAAGUCUCUAGGGAUAAAGGCGCUUUCGGUUGGUGAAAUGAUCUCUGGUAAAAUUAUCUUUAGGUUUCUAGCAAGCUUCUUUGGAAUUAAGAUUAACGUGCUGUCAUUCCACCCAUCCGUUAUCUGCCUCGAGUUUAUCGCCUCCGGGACUUUCUAGUAUUUUGUUCUACAAAAGUGCAUGCAAACCGUUGGGGCCUUGGGCCUUGAUAUCGCUGAUACUGAAAAUAGAGUGCUUCAUUGCAUUCUCCGUAAAGGAAGCAGUUGUUCAUUCAUUUAUUUAGAAACUCAAGACAUAAUUUUUCUAGAGAUCAAAUAUCUGUAUUGUUAACUUCGGAAGAUAAAGGGUGAGCAAAAUAAUUUGUGAUCAUCGGGUUUAACAUGUCCGUACCUUCCAGACAAGCCCCCUGGCCAUCCUUAAGUCAUUUCAUCAGGUUACGUUCUUGCCGGCCAAGGCAAAUUGUUAGAAAUAAAAUUAAUUGUCGUCGCUGUUAUGUAACCAGUCCACCCUAGCUUGUUGGAGCUUAUGCAGUUCCUGUACACUAGUAGAAAAAGCCCCAUUUGUCCCGGUUCAUGAGGCCCAUUUGUCCCGGUUGUUGAACCGGGACUAAAGGGAAGGUACUAAAGCCCAAUACCUUUAGUCCCGGUUCGCCCAAGAACCGGGACUGAGGGAGUCCCGGAUUAGGGGGUGUUCGGAUAGCCGAACUAUCAUCAUCGGCCGGACUCCAAGACUAUGAAGAUACAAGAUUGAAAACUUCGUCUCGUAUCCGGAUGGGACUUUCCUUGGCGUGGAAGGCAAGCUUGGCGAUACGGAUAUGUAGAUCUCCUAUCAUUGUAACCGACUCUGUGUAACCCUAGCCCUCUCCGGUGUCUAUAUAAACCGGAGGGUUUUAGUCCGUAGGCUAGAACAACAAUCAUACCAUAGGCUAGCUUCUAGGGUUUAGCCUCCUUGAUCUCGUGGUAGAUCUACUCUUGUAAUACCCACAUCAUCAAUAUUAAUCAAGCAGGACGUAGGGUUUUACCUCCAUCAAGAGGGCCCGAACCCGGGUAAAACAUCGUGUCCCUUGUCUCCUGUUACCAUCCGCCUAGACGCACAGUUCGGGACCCCCUACCCGAGAUCCGCCAGUUUUGACAUGGACAUUGAUGCUUUCAUUGAGAGUUCCUCUGUGCCGUCGCAAUCAGGAAGGAUGCCUCUUCCCGUCUUUAAAGACGGUACCAUUGCCAAAGGAGCUUUGGCCGCCGGUCAAGCUAUCCGGCUAGGUGAUUUUCUUAUGACUGCAUGUUCGGCCACCGCUUCGACAAUGACCUCUCGGGUCAUCAAAAGUGAUCUUCGCGUCAACUCGGAAUUCACCGAACAGCUGGAUCCGAUGGAGCUCUCUUCCGCAAACGAGCUCUUGGAUCGGAUCGCCGCCUUGGGAGUCGCUACAGACUACGAUCAGAUUGGGCUUAAAACCGAUCUGAGAGAAAUUAACUCUCCCCAGGCUACCCACCACGUUGCUGUGGUAGAAGAACAACGCGGCGACUCUUCUUCUAUGUUAAAGACCAGUUAUGUCUGGAUUCCCGAUCCCUCCAUGCCGGAUUCCCGCGGAGGGACGGACGUCAAUCGAGUACUGAACCUAAAGUCAGGCAGCGUACUAGAUUCGUCGGACGACGUUCAGCUAUCCAAGCUUCCAAAUCCGGAAACUCCUCGGCCUUCGAGCCUCAGAUUGGGCGGGGUUCCGAAUUUAAUUCCACCCACCCACCCAAACACAAGCGAUCUAUCUCAAAUACGGCAAGAGCCCGAUGAAACAGUACAUCAUUACUGGGCCAGAUUCCUCCUGGUUAUGGACAGGAUAAAGGACUGCCGUGAGGAAAGCGCAAUCUCUAUUUUCUGCAACAAUUGCACGGACAAGGGAAUCAUGAACGCCAUAAGUCGUUGCAAAGUUACGCGCUUCGCCGACCUGGCGACCAUAGUACGAAAAUACUGUGCGAUGGAAAGUGCCUGGAAAACUGAAACUAGAUUUUGGGACAAUCCGGCCCUGAACACAACCCUAGUCCGGAAUAAAAGGGUGCACCAUGCUCAAGCACCUGGGUCAAAAACCAAAAAGCAAAACCCCCCUAAAGGGUACGAAACCGUACUGGAGGGAUGGCUCAGCGGACCCUGCAAAAUCCAUAAUACAGAGGGCGCCACUCCAACACAUAACCUUCGAGCAUGUUAGAUACUACGACAGGUGGCCAAAAGUGGCGAAGGUCUUCUAGCCCCGGAGAACCGUCCCAACAGUACCAGUACGGUAUUAACAAUCUUCGAGACUUUCGCAUCAAAUAAUAUGCGGAAACGAACAAUCCGCAGCCUCGCCGAAGUCUACCAAGUAGCAACAACAAAUCCAUGGAGCGACACGGCUAUCACCUUCAAUGCCAGCGACGAACCUAAAUUCCGAACAGCCCGAGCACCAGCCGCAUUGGUCCUAUUCCAAUAGUGGAUGGCUUUCGUCUUACCAAGGUACUCAUGGAUGGCGGCAGCGGAUUAAACCUCAUCUACGAGGAAACCCUCCAAAAAAUGGAAAUAGACUGGAGCCGCAUUAAGCGAAGCAGCACAACCUUCAGAGGAAUAAUCCCUAGUCGGCAAGCACGCUGCACAGGAAAAAUCACACAAGAUGUGGUGUUCGGCUCGUCGGACAACUACAGGUCCGAAGAAGUCACGUUCCAAGUGGCCCCGUUCAGCAGCGGAUAUCACGCUCUAUUAGGGCGAGAGGCAUUCACAAUUUUCCAAGUUGUACCCCAUUACGGGUACAUGAAGCUUGAAAUACCCGGGCCCAAUGGAAUCAUCACUCUGGUCAGUGAUCCGGACAUAGCACUCCGCGCUAAAAAUAAGACAGCUGCACUAGCCCUAGAGGCACUAUCCGAAGCCCUAGUGGCAGAGGAACUCACUGCACUGCGCUCCACGGUGAAUAGGGACGAUGUGAUACUCGAUAAGAGAUCUAAGUCCACCUAUUUUAAACCAGCAGACGAAAUAGUCAAAUUCCAGGUCCAUCCAACGGACCCCACAAAGACGGCCUCCAUUGGGGCACAAUUAAACCCUGAUGUAGAAGCCGCACUACGAGAAUUCCUUAGGGAAAACUAGGACAUUUUUGCAUGGCACCCUUCAGAUAUGCCAGGAAUCCCACGCAGGCUGGCAGAGCACAGCCUAAAUAUCCUAAAAGGAUUCAAGCCAGUCAAACAGGCUGUUCGACGAUUUUUCGAACCCAAAAGACAGGCAAUGGGAGAGGAGCUAGCCAAACUAUUAGAAGCCGGAUUCAUCAGAGACAUAAAACAUCCGGAUUGGCUAGCGAACCUGGUAAUGGUACCAAAAAAGGACAAAUCCUGGCGUCUUUGUGUCGAUUUUAAAGACCUUAAUAAGGCUUGUCCAAAGGAUCCUUUCCCCCUUCCCCGCAUCGACUAAAUCAUCGAUGCUACCGCGAGGCACGAUUCAUUGUGUUUCCUCGACGCAUACUCCGGAUACCAUCAAAUCAAGAUGGCGGAAACAGACCAGGCCGCAACGGCAUUCAUUACUCCAUACGGACCAUUCUGCUUCAACACAAUGCCCUUCGGACUCAAAAACGCCGGCGCAACAUAUCAGCGCAUGAUUCAGACAUGUCUGGCUACCCAGAUCGGCAAAACAGUGGAGGCAUACAUAGACGAUGUGGUCGUUAAGACCAAACACGUCGAAACUCUAGUAGACGAUUUGAGGCUCACAUUCGACAACCUCCGAGCAUAUGACAUUAAGCUCAACCCAAAAAAAAUGCGUUUUCGGCGUACCAGCCAGAAAGCUCUUGGGCUUCAUUGUAUCCGGUAGAGGAAUUGAAGCAAACCCAGCCAAGAUCCGAGCUCUGUCACAAUUGGAUAUCCCAAAAGACCUCAAACAAAUACAAAAACUGACUGGAUGCGUGGCGGCUCUAAGCCGCUUCAUCUCCCGUUUGGGAGAAAAGGCAUUGCCUCUCUACCGCCUCCUCCGGCGCACCGAACACUUCGAGUGGACGGAUGCUGCCACGGCCGGACUCGAAGAAAUAAAGGCCAUAUUAGCAACAAAUCCGGUCCUAGCCGCGCCCAACCUAGGCGAACCAAUGUUAUUAUAUAUCGCGUCAACACAUCAAGUUGUAAGCGCAGUGCUCGUCGUCGAACGAGAAACAGAAGGUCACAAAUCCCCUCUUCAAAAACCAGUGUACUACGUAUCCACUGUCUUAACUCCAUGCAAGUCCCGGUAUCCAUAUUAUCAAAAGAUAGCGUACGCGGUGUUCAUGGCAUCCCGGAAGCUGCGACACUACUUUAAAGAGUGCUCGAUAACAGUGGCCUCCGAAGUACCUCUCAACGACAUUAUAAACAACCGUGAUGCGACAGGCAGGAUUGCAAAAUGGGCCAUUGAGCUCUUACUAUUUGACAUAACCUACAAACCACGGCGAGCUAUAAAGUCGCAAGUUUUGGCUGACUUCAUCGCCGAAUGGACCGAAGCCGAACUCCCUAAAGAGUACGACGCAUACUCCAAUUGGAUCAUGCAUUUCGACGGCUCCAAAAUGUUGGCCGGCUUGGGGGCUGGCAUCGUAUUAACGUCCCCAACCGGAGACACAGUCCAAUACGUACUUCAGAUAAUGUACACGGACUCCAACAAUGCAGCCGAAUAUGAUGCCCUUCUACAUGGUCUCCGGAUGGCAAUCUCCAUGGGUAUUCAACGCCUAGAGGUGCGCGGGGAUUCAAACCUCACAAUAUCCCAAGUAAAUGGAGACUUUGACGCCAAAGAUCCGAAAAUGGCAGCCUAUCGUAACACUGUCUUAAAAAUGUCAGCUCAGUUCGAAGGACUCGAAUUCCACCAUGUAGCCCGGGAUAAUAACCAGGCAGCCGACGUGUUGGCGCGCAUCGGCGCAAAAUGCGACGUCGUCCCUCCAAACAUCUUCCUGGAGCAGCUCUUUAAGCCAUCCGUAUUAUGGGAAGAGGAGUCCAGAAAUAACAACCCGGAACCAACCGCGCCACCCAACACGGAACAUUCUGACACUCGGUGGCUCAGCCAAUGAAAUAACACCCUCAGCCCACGAAAUAAUGGCAGUAAUUGCCCCAUGGACGGAACCAUUCCUAGCCUAUUUAACUAGGCAGGAACUUCCCGAAGACCAAAAUGAGGCCCACCGCAUAGUUCGGCGAUCUAAAGCCUACAAGGUCCAUGAGGGAGAACUUUAUAAGAAAAGCACAACCGGAGUCCUUCAAAGGUGCAUCUCCGAAGAGGAAGGGCGAAAUCUCCUGGCUGAAAUUCACGCCGGACUCGGUGGGCACCACGAUGCAGCCAGGGCCCUUGUAGGCAAGGCCUUCCGUACAGGAUUUUAUUGGCCGACUGCCCGGGCAGAUGCUCAGGACUUAGUCCAACGAUGCGUCGGUUGCCAGCACUUUGCUAAUCAAAGCCACAUGCGACCCACCGCCCUCAAAACUAUACCCAUCACCUGGCCGUUCAUGGUCUGGGGGCUUGACAUGGUUGGACCCCUUAAAGGGGGAACCCACAAGCAAAAAUACCUAUUGGUCAUGGUGGACAAAUUCACCAAAUGGAUAGAGGCCAAGCCAGUUAAAACGGCAGAAUCCGGACCCGUGAUAGACUUCAUAUCCGGGGUAGUACAGCGUUAUGGCGUCCCCCACAACAUCAUCACUAAUAACGGCACGAAUUUCACGGCCGACGAGGUUAAAGUCUGGUGCAAAAGUAUGGGCAUCAGGCUCGAUUACGCUUCAGUCUAUCACCCCCAAACUAACGGUCAAGUCGAACGAGUAAAUGGUCUAAUCAUGAGCGGCAUCGAACCGAGAUUAUUGCGGUCCCUCACGGAAUCUAACACGCACUGGGUAGAGGAGCUCGACUCCGUACUCUGGGGGCUGCGGACCACGCCGAACCGCACUACCGGAUUCACAUCAUUUUUUAUGGUGUACGGCGUAGAGGCAGUUUUGCCCUGCGACAUAAUUCAUGACUCACCUCGCGUGCACAUGUACGAAGAAAGAGAAGCCGAGUUGGAUCGGUAGGACAGUUUGGACGCCUUAGAGGAGGAGCGGGACGUGGCAAAAGCUCGUUACACAUUCUAUCAGCAGCAGGCUCGAAGAUAUCAAAGCAGAGAAGUACGGGCCAAAACUUACAAUGUUGGCGAGCUAGUUCUACGCCUGUCGGACAAGAAAAAGGACAAACUUAAGCCCAAAUGGGAAGGUCCCUUCAUCAUCGACCAAGUCCUGACCGGCGGAGCAUACCGUCUAUGUAACGCAUCUGACAACCGACUCGAGCCGAACCCAUGGAACGCAGCCCGUCUCCGAAGAUUCUACGCCUAGCGCCGGACUUAGAGUUCGUCUCCUUCCUCCGCCCACCUUUUAUAUUUUCGCUGUCUUUUGUUCCCCUCCUUCUUCCCGCUUUUUAGUAAAAAGCCUUUGAGGGCUGAUCUGUGCAUUGUUCGCACACACUUGAUGUGAUACUCGCACUCAUUAUACCUAGGGGCUUCUUUAACAGAAGCUUAUUUAUACGGGCUUCAUGCCCAACACAUGUGUCAUACUUCCGCAUGUACCUUUUAUUCACCAUUAUAUGCAUCGAUAUGACUUAAGUUUUGGCCAAGCUAGGUUGCCUGGAUCCUGUGCUUACCCCUACGUUCCCGAUUGUUCGGCUAGGAGGUAAAGGGAGCACAUCUGCGAUUGUUACUGCCGGGUCAGCCGGAUGUGUACCUCAGACUGGGUGAAGCCGAAAGCUAGCGUUCUUAAGGGAAUAUUCGGUUGGUGACUUGAAAGAUGAUUUAUUACUUAUUUAUUUAUCUGGCCCCAGAUGCUUUUUCUGCUCUCUUCGCAGUACGGACAUGCACCUUAGGGCAUGCCUCCCAGGGAAAGGAACCCCUAACCGAACUAUUCUCCCUGGAAGAUGUUUCUUAAUAACCAUGUAAUAUAACAUAACUAGUUGGGCACUUUUCUGAUAAAGCACUAAUGACCCCUACGGCUGUUCUCCAUGCAUGCCCCGGUUUUUAUAUAACCGUUAGGGUAUUCGGACACACUCCGGACUGUUGGGUCCCGAGGUUGAAGCGAAAAGGUCCGCAAAGACAAACGAUCUACAAUCUGGCUAGAAGGCAUUUUACAUGUCAUUUUAAAAUUACAUCGUCAAAUUGACUGAUUGAACUCCUCUUCAAUCCCAUCUAACAGGCUGUCUAGUUUACAGUCCCGUUGGGAAUAUUUCGCAGCCAACUCUACUUGGUCGUACAUUAAGCUCACAGGGAUCUCCUUCCCAUCGGGCCCCACAGGUCCGACCUCGGCCAUGUGGUUUGGAUCAGCCUUCGUGUACCGCGUCUUCACCAUGGCCCAGGCCUCUCUGGCGCCUUGACGGCAAGCCGAUAUCUUCCACAGACGGAAGCGCUGCCGUACUCCCUGAAGCUUCUCAGCAAGCCCUCCAAGACCCUCGGGUAGGGAGACGGACGGCCAUAAGGCCUGAACGACGCCGCUCAUCGCCUGCCGAACACGUUCGUGCAGUUGCAGCAGCUCGGGAAGAAGGUCACACGUGGAACCAGGCAUUUCCUCCGCCGGACGACCCGUGAGCACACCUACAGACACAUUUCUGUCAAUCGACUUCCUCGCUGAACUCUUCUUUUCAAAAGAGUUUGCUCAAGCACUUACUGCAAAUGCCGCGACGAAGCCGCCGGUUCUCCUUUACGGAGUCAAACAGCUGGACCCGAACAUCUUUUAGUUCUUCGCCCAGCUGGGUGUUGGCAUCUUGGAGUUUGUUCCUCUCCUGCUGCACCCUCAUAAGCACCUUCUCGCCGGCCUUCAGCUGGCACAGCAGAUGUUGCUUGUCCGGUUCCAGUCCGGCACCCUCUGCAAUAUUAUUGUCAGACUUACGCACACGCCGCAUUUCAUAAACUACUUAUCUUUUUGAAGUAUGUUUUACCAGAGGGGGUCUCUGUGGCUCCCCCUGCGGCGGCUAGCACGGCCUCAUGUUGGGCCUUGCACUCUUGAAGUUCCUGUGACAGACAGGUAUUCUUCUCCGUAAGAUCCUGCAUAACAAAUGAUCCUUAAAUCAGUUAUUCUAACUAUUUUAAGUCUCGGGGGCUACUGGCAUAUAUAAAUAUUAAAAUUCCUCACCCGUAUGUCUUUCACAUACUACUUUGUGGCUCUGGUUAGACCAUCUCGAGCGGCACGGAGGUGCGCGUCUCCCGCAUUAAAGGCAUUCAGUGCCUCCGAAGAGAAACACGCGUCACGAAGAACCGUCCGGUGGCGCCUGUGAUUCAUGGCGCUCUCCACCUCAGACCUGGUGGCGGACAACCUCUCGGCAUCCUCCGUUGGAUGAGCAUCUGGCUCACGCCUUGUGUUCGCCUCCCCUUCCGGACCAGGCGUUGGAGCAUGGCUGGCGGAGGCUUGAUUGGCAACCUCUCCGGACACUGUCCGGCGAGCGCUCUUUCUCCUGGAAAAAUCAUGAGCGUUAAUAUACCUCCUAGGAAUCUUUCCCUUAAAAACAGCGGUGCGCCGUACCGUUGCGGCGAUGUUUCGAUUCGCGCCGCACUCCUCUUCCGCCUGCUGGGCCGAUCUGACCCUUGUUGGUCAGCCGCCGCGGGUUCGGCUUCUCGCCUUAAAGGCGCCUCAUGCAGAGCACCGUUCGUAUACGGUGGUCAGAAAUGAGCAUGGACCAAGUAAUGGUGUCAGGACUCCGGUCGUAGUCACCUAGGAAGCCGGAGAUAAACCGGGGUAGUCAGCCGUAAUGGCGACUAGAGCAUUGUCCAUGCUAAGUUGGUGGAACACCCCGUCAAUCAGCUCCACCUUUAUGUACGGAUCCUCUUCGGAGGCCGGAUCAAGGGAUCGUCCUGGAUCCUCGGGCUGUGGAGUCAGGCUUUGUAUGCCCUCCAUGUCCCGGCGCAGCUCCUGCGUCAAAAUCACAAAGUGAGACACUUAACUUUGGGAAUAUGGAUCGGAUAGAUAAACGUCCGCUUACCUAGCUCCGAGGGUUAUUCAUGGAGAAUCCAUUCAAUGGACUCGUGCGGAGGAAGUCCUCCUUCUCCCCCUUGUACAAGCCGGAUAGGAUCUUCACCAGAUCGGCGGUCGAUCCCGGCCCCUUGCGGCCAUGACGGAUGGCGUCAUCCUCCCCGUUGAAAUCCCACAUGGGGUGGCCCCUAUAUUGGAGCGGCUGCACCCCUCGCAUAAUGCACGUGGCCAUGACUCCAAUCAUGGUCAAUCUGGAGUGGGCCAGUAACCUUAUCCGGCCCAUCAGAUAUUGGACGCUCCCAUCAUCUUCCUGUUGAGGGCUCCGCAGGCGCCAACUCAGGCGUUUCUUCAGGGGAGCAUUGCUGAACUCCGGGAGGCCGAUCUGAACUGGAUCCGGCAGAGGGGAGUCUUCCAUAUAAAACCAUUCCGAAGGCGAGUCUUCGGAUGCCUUCUUCAGGGUUCCGGAUAGAUAUCCGGUCCCGGCAAUGCGCCAUAUUUUGGCUCCGCCCACUUGAUAUAUUGACCCCUCGUGAGAACGGAGUACGAGGCAAAACAAUCUCUUCCACAGCGCAAAAUGGGGCUCAAUGCCCAAGAACAGCUCGCAAAGAGCUACAAAGCCCGCGAUGUGCAAAAUGGAGGCAGGUGUAAGGUGGUGAAGCUGGAGUCCAUAGAACUCCAGGAGCCCCCGGAGAAACGGAUGUAUGGGAAAUCCGAGUCCCCUUAUUAGAUAAGGGACGAAGCAUACCCGCUCUCCUUUGGAGGGAUUGGGGACGCUCUCCGCCUGCUUUCCACCCUUGUAGGUGGCCAAUCCGGCUCGAACCGGAACCAUGAAGGCUGGGGGAAGAUAUCCCUCUGCUUGGAGCGUCACUAGCUUGCUAUGCGGAAGUGAACAUCUCCUCCAAUCUCCUGGCUGAGGGCUGGGAGCGCGAGAGGAGGAGCCGCGUAGACUAUCCAUGAUGGAAUGGAUUUUUGUCAGAGGCGCUUCGAUGAGUAAUUGAGGAAGGAGGAUGGCCUGAUUUGGAUCUAGAUCCUCGCCUCUCUUAUAGGCAGCUUAUUCGCGCGGCUAGGGGGUAAAACGCAAAAAUACCCUAGCUUUUUGCAUUCAUACGACACGUGGAAGAGGGCCAUUAUUGGAUGUGGAAGCCAAGGAGCGCAACAUUUAUAAGGAAGCCGGACACUAUUCAGCAGGCACAUGGAAUUUGAAGGAGAACCCGCCUUGCAACGCCAAAGACAAUAUGCGCGCCGGACUCAUCGUCAUUGAAGCCUGGUUCGGGGGCUACUGAGGGAGUCCCGGAUUAGGGGGUGUCCGCAUAGCCGAACUAUCAUCAUCAGCCGGACUUCAAGACUAUGAAGAUACAAGAUUGAAGACUUCGUCCCUUGUCCGGAUGGGACUUUCCUUGGCGUGGAAGGCAAGCUUGGCGAUACGGAUAUGUAGAUAUCCUACCAUUGUAACCGAAUCUAUGUAACCCUAGCCCUCUCUGGUGUCUAUAUAAACUGGAGGGUUUUAGUCCAUAGGCCAGAACAACUAUCAUACCAUAGGCUAGCUUCUAGAGUUUAGCCUCCUUGAUCUCGUGGUAGAUCUACUCUUGUAAUACCCACAUCAUCAAUAUUAAUCAAGCAGGACGUAGGGUUUUACCUCCAUCAAGAGGGCUCGAACCUGGGUAAAACAUCGUGUCCCUUGUCUCCUGUUACCAUCCGCCUAGACGCAUAGUUCGGGACCCCCUACCCGAGAUCCGCCGGUUUUGACACCGACAGGGAUAGAUGGGGAUCCACGUGGUCGUUGCGGCUUGCCCAGGUAGGAGGUCUAUUUGUCCCGGUUGGUGCCACCAACCCGGACCAAAAUGCUUCCACGCGUCAGCAGUUCAGGAGUUGGGGUUUUUUUUCUGAAAGGGGGGGAGGGGGUUUGGGGGUUUUGUAGGGUCAAUUUAGGGGUUUCCUAUAUUGUGUUAGCCAGCUAAUAGAGAGAAGUGUUCUCUCUUAUCUCUGUGCUUGGUCGACGCUACGUACUAUACGUAUAGAGAGGACUCGACACGCUAGCUAGCUAGCUAGUAAGCAAAUGAAGGAAACCAUUAAGUACAGAAGAUCGUCAUGAACAUAUAUAGAGAGAAGUGAUCGACCUCUCCUUCUCCGAGAGAUUAGUCGAACAACAAGUGUUCGUAUAUCUAUCCAACGCUACUAGCUUCAUAUAUACAAUAUAAGAUCUAUCACAAUCCUUAAAGUCUGAAGUCAAGUGCCACAUGGUAUUAUCCGGCUUUCUUGGUGACGUGGUCAAGAAAGAAUCCCGCCAAUUCCUCUUGAAUUGCGUUUAUGCGGUCAUGUGGUAGGAGCUCGUCCCGCAGCUGCCAUAUCUAAAUCGAAGAAGAGGGUCAAUACAUGUGUAUGAAUGAAACACAACACAAAUGAUGGUAAUAAAAUACAAUUGUGAAUAUUUUUGCUUGCGCACUUGAUAUUGUUUUUCAGUGUAGCCCCUCUUAUUCUUGGUCGCCUCGUUGUAGAUGAACUCACAAACAUAGUAUCCACAGAAAUUAUUUUCUUGUUCCUGCCACAAACACUUUACGAGAAAUAGAGGUCAAUCAAACUGACAAGCAAGCAUGCUAAAUGCUAUUGAUGAAACUAGUUACAAUCAAUGGGAGAUGCGCGGAACUAGGUAGUAGUACUUACUUUCGGUUGUUUAAAUGUCAGCUCGAUCGGCAGUCCCGGAGAAAUUGCGGUGAAACUUUUUCAAACUCCGCCAGGCAAAGAAAAUAAUUACUUGAUAUCAGGAAAUGAACAAAGUUGCCAAUAUGGUGCGAUAAUGAUGGAUUGAACUUACUUCUGGAGCAUUCCAGUCAUGUCCGCAUAGUCCUCGGGAUCUUUUCGUCUCGAGUCUAAGAUGGUUACUUCUCCCUUCCCAAGCUUAAUCACUAGGAGCAUAAAGUUGAAGUUGCGCACGCAUGCACAACUCAACAGUUACAUGACUAUAACCUCGAGUAAUAAGGGAAACCGAAUAUGCACAAGACAGUAACACUCACAUGAAGUUGUAAGGAAAGAGUAUUUUAUCUUUCGUUUGAUUUUUGAGCAACGAUCUGAGAAAGUUGUCCUCGGUCUUUUCAGCUUUUUUUGACCGUGUAUUCAUGUAUGACAUUUGGGUUAAUGAACCCAAUGUCAUAGAUUUGUGCUUUUCUGCAUUCGACGAUCUUCAAUCUGCAUAAUAUAGCGAGGAUAAUUAUAUAUACAUGCAAUGAAAGAGCUGAGCUAUAUAUAUAAAUAGACUUAAUUACAUAAAGUAGUACUUACAGACAGUAGCAAUCCACAAGUGAUUUGUCGAGGGCCUUUUGAUUGUAGAACUGGAAAACUCGUCAAAAUCAACAGUUAACAGUUCUUGGCCAAUGAAGUCGUGGUCCUCUUUAAUCAUCAUCGACAAAGCAUCCUUCCCAGACUCUCUGCAUGUUUUCAUGUACCAGUCAUGGAAUCUUCAUCGUUGUUAGAGCAAGAGUAUCUUUGACGAGAGGCUUCCCGUAAUGGUAUUUGAAUUCCUCCACCUCCAUUAUUUCAAAUUAAAAAUCGUCGCGUAGGUAAUCACCAAUAGUGAAAUCGUGCAGCAGCGGCUGAUUUGCGACAAUAUCGCUAGACACCUUGAGCGGGGGGGAUGAUUGGUUCUACUAUUCUCCGAGAUGGGGAAUUUUCUUCCCACUUCUUUGUUCUUUUAACCUUUUAUCAGUUGAAGUAGUUCCCGACUGGCGCGCUUGUUGCACUUUCUUUUUAAGACAACGGAGAUGGUUGUUAUCCGGCGAAUGCGGUGGUGCUUGCUCCAGGGCAUUGAGAGUGUGCUUCGCUUUCACCGGAUCUUUCUUCUCCUCCAGAGGUGGAUGUUUCUCAGCUCUUUUCGUUUCAAAGAAGUUCUUCACUUGGGCUUGAAUAAUCUGCUUGUUUUCCUCCACAGUCAUCUCAUAUGGUAACUUGUCUAGAGGCUUGAGAGACGAUGGUCCGAAUUUGUAUUGCCUCGCACCUCUGGCUGUACUGCUAGAUGCCGGAGUAGCCGGAGCGGCUGCGGCUGUCUUAUUUCGUUGCUUAAGAGGCGGAGCGGCCGGAGGCGGACUGCUACGGUACACCGGAGCAGCUAGAGUGGCGGCUUCUGUGUUCCGCCGUCGCUUACGAGGCGGCGAAGGAGGAGGAGGGCACCUCGGACGCGCCGGAGCAGGCAGAGAAAGAGGCGGAGUACUGCCGCUCUCACGCACCGGAGCAGGAGGCGGAGUGCCUGAUCACUCGCCGGAGGAGGAGGAAGAGGCAGAGUGCCCAGCUGACUCGCGGGAUCCGUGAAGUUCAGAAGUUUGAUGUGCUCCUUCUGCCAUAGACACAGAGUCUUCAUAGCAAGACCCAACUGAGUCUCCCCAUCACCUGUAGGGUGCUCAAGCUGGAGCUCCUCAAGUCCAUCCGUUAUUUCGUCCACCAUCACAACAUCAUAGCCUUGUGGAAUCAGACGACAAUAAAAAGUUGCUCCGGGUGAAGGAGGGAACACAAAGCUGACAGCUGCCUUGACUUUGAGCUGAAGCCCUUGCGUCAUAAGGUGGCACUGGUGUGAAUCCGUGAUAAAAUCCACGGGGUACCUAGGACCCGUCCAGUCAGGUUGCUAAACGAGCUCGGUGGAAGCCACGCUGCUUCUCCGCUGAGAUGGCGGGGUAGCUUCUGGGGUAGCUGCUUGGGCAGGAUCUCGCAGCUGGUUCUCAACAUCUUGUCGUUCCUCUAGCUUUCGUACCCUUGCCUUAAGCUGCUGCAGUUCGCUCUGCUCCACUUUCCUCCUCCUCUCUUGGGUUUUGUAACUCCCUGUGUCGAGAAACCCAACCUACCAUGCAAUAGAGCCUGGCGUGCCUCGUGUUCGUCCAGGGUGCUCAGGAUUCCCAAGGGCCCUUGUGAGCUCGUCGUUCUCUCUGUCAGGAAUGAACGUCCCUUCUGCACUUCCUUGAUUGCUUUCUGAAGCUUCAUGAUGGGUGUUCCAAGUUGCUCGUCCAUCCAGCAGCACUUCCCUGUUUCAGUGUCCAAAGUUCCCCCAACCCCGAAGAACCAAGUCCUUGAACGGUUUGGCUAGUGCAAUGUCUCUACUUCGACCCCUUUAGCAAUCAGGCCUUGCUCAGCCUUGUCCCACAACGGCCGGGCUUUGAGGUAGCCACCUUACCCCGUGCGAUGGUGAUGCUCCUUCUUUGCAGCGUUUAUCUUGUUUAUCGCUGACAUAUUCUUACUCCUCUCCCAUGUCUUGUUGGCCACAAAUGCGGGCUAGUGAUCUCUUAUCUUCUCAAAUCGGCUGGUGAAUUUUGGAGUCUUGUCAUGGUCGACAUAAGUUGAUUUCAACUCAUUCUUCCACCUCCUUAAUAGACCUGCCAUCUUCUUGAGAGCAUGAAACAUGAUCAAUGGCUCUAUAACUGGCUUCUCUGGAUCCUCCUCUUCUAGUAGGGUGAAAUUUACCUUCAGCGCGGUCCAAAGAUCAGCUUUCUGUCUACCUUCGACAAAGGAACUUGAAGCUCUUCCUUCUUAGGCUGAUUCCAUUGCUCGAUGCUGAUCGAGAUCAUGUCCCUAACAAGAACCCCGCACUGAGGAGAAAAUGCUUCCUUGGUCCGGAGAGGUUUAAUCGGUUGGCCAUCACGCGCGAUUUCUGUGAUCGUGAACCUUUCAUCCGGGCGCAAAUUUUUCUUCGGGCCUCGUCUCGUUACCGAAGGGCUAUAAAAGAAGAAAGAAGAGUUAAUAUAUGUACAUACAAAAACAAUUAAUGCAUCACAGGCUUAAUUAAUAUAUAUCUUGCCGGAAUUUGCAACAGUUGAUCCCGACUCCGUUCGGUCACCAGAGCCGUCAUCACGGUCGCCGGAGCCAUCAUCAUGAUCAUGACUUUCCUCCUCCAUUGUUUGAUCACCGUAGCCUGCUUCCUCUCCUUCCAGACCUUUUUCAAAGUCAUUGAGAAACAACAAGAGAUCACCUCCAUUGCGGAUUAUGUCCCCUCCAAUAUCUCUUCUUGUUCGAAGUCUCUUUGUUGAUCCAUAGUUUCUGCAAAUAUUACAACAUGGCAAUUAAUAUGCAAACAUGAGAGAUGGAUAUAUUAAUAGUGGCAAACAUAGACCCCUCGGCGAUCCUCGGCCCUCGACCCUCAUCCCCUCGGCGACCCUUGACCCCCUACCCUAGCUAGUUCCGAUCCUUGACCGCUCGGAUUCUCUUAACCUUUCAGGGAUUUAACAAGAUGGCACCAUUCUGGAUGUGCAGAAAAUGGUCCCUCGACCCCUCGACGACCCUAGACCCUCGACCCCUCGACGACCCUGGACCCUCGACCCUUGACCCUCGACUAUCGACGACCAUCGACCCUCGACGACCCUCGACCCCUCGACGACCCUCGACCCAUCGACCCAUCGGCAACCCUCGACCCUCUAGCCUAGGUCCCGACACCCUNNNNNNNNNNNNNNNNNNNNNNNNNNNNNNNNNNNNNNNNNNNNNNNNNNNNNNNNNNNNNNNNNNNNNNNNNNNNNNNNNNNNNNNNNNNNNNNNNNNNNNNNNNNNNNNNNNNNNNNNNNNNNNNNNNNNNNNNNNNNNNNNNNNNNNNNNNNNNNNNNNNNNNNNNNNNNNNNNNNNNNNNNNNNNNNNNNNNNNNNNNNNNNNNNNNNNNNNNNNNNNNNNNNNNNNNNNNNNNNNNNNNNNNNNNNNNNNNNNNNNNNNNNNNNNNNNNNNNNNNNNNNNNNNNNNNNNNNNNNNNNNNNNNNNNNNNNNNNNNNNNNNNNNNNNNNNNNNNNNNNNNNNNNNNNNNNNNNNNNNNNNNNNNNNNNNNNNNNNNNNNNNNNNNNNNNNNNNNNNNNNNNNNNNNNNNNNNNNNNNNNNNNNNNNNNNUUCUUCUUAUCCUCAUGUCGACCCCCCCCCUCAUGUAAAAGUUAUCGGGGAGGGGGUAUAUCGACAACAACGACAUAUACAUAGAAAAAAAUCUUAUCGGGGAGGGGGUAUAUCGAUCCCCCUCAUGUCGAAUUUAUGAGGGAGGGGGUAUAUCGACAACGACGACAUAUACAUAGAAAAAAAUGUUAUCGGUUAGGGGGUGUAUCGACCCCCUCUCAUGUCGAAGUUAUUGGGGCCGGGGUAUAUCGAUCCCCCCCCCCUCAUGUCGAAGUUACCGGGGAGGGGUUAUAUAUAUCGACAAAAUUACAUCAUCAUAUAUCAUCAAACAAAAUUACAUCAUCAUCAUCAUCAUAUAUAUAUAUAUAUACAUCUAAAAAAGUUUUCAUAUAUCAUCAUAUAUCAUCGUCAUCAUCAUCAUCUAGUACAAAAAUUGACCAAGCUAGUUUUCAUAUAUCAUUAUAUAAAUCAUCAUCAUUAUCAUCACCAUCUACUACAUAAAAAAAUUGACCAAGUUUUCAUGUAUAUAUAUAUACAAAACAUGUAAAAAUAGCAUCUAAAAACAUCUAAAACUAGCAUCUAAAAACAUCUAAAAAUAGCAUCUAACAACAUCUAAAACUAGCAUCUAAAAACAUCUAAGAAAUUAAGCAGGGGCAUGGCGGAGAGGCAUGGCGGCGGCGCCGACAGGGCAGGGCAGGGGGGAGACAGGGGAGGGGCGUGGGAGCAGGCUGGUGCUCACAUGAUGCGGCGGCGCACGGUGAGCAACGCGUCGUGGCAGGCAGGGGCGGCAGCGGCGGCAGCGGCAAUGUGGAGCAGGGGCGUCGGGCGGCGACGGCGACGAGGUGGAGCAGGGGGCAGGGGCGUCGGUGGUGGAGGCGAGCAGCCUGACGGUGUCGGUGGCGGCGGCGACAACAAGGUAGAGCAGGGGCGUCGAGCGGCGACGGUGAUGAGGAGGAGCAAGGGGCGUCGGGGAGAAGAAGUGGUGGAUUUCGUCGAAACUGCUAAGUGUUGCUUAUAUACCCAGGGCAUCGCUACCGGUUCAUGGCACCAACCGGUACCAAUGCCCCCCUUUGGUGCCGGUUGGUGCCACCAACCGGGACAAACGGCCUCUGUUUUCCGCCCUGGUUCGUGCCACGAAUCGGUACCAAUGCCCCCCUUUGGUGCUGGUUGGUACCACCAACCGGGACCAAAGGCCUCGUGCUGCCCGUGGCCAAAACUUUAGUCCCACCUCGCUAGUAGAGAGGGGCGCGUAGUGGUUUAUAAGCCCCACUGCCGCACCCCUCUCGAGCUCCUUUCCAUUGCAGGCUUACGGGCCAAAUCAUACACUGCUAUGCCUGAUGGGCCUAAUGGUCCUUCCGCGGGCCUGAAUCCUGGCCCAUGGUUGGGUUUCUAGUCGUAUUCAGGCCGUGGUGGCCCAGUAGGUGGCAUUUUUUUAUUUUUCUAGUUUUUUUUGUUUUUUGCAUUAUUUAUUUUCUUUUGUUUUUUCCUUUUUUUCCUUUUAGGUAAUAAAAAUUAUAAACUUUCUGUUGGUGCCAUUUGUUUUCCAAUUUGAAUAGUUUACAUUUGAAUUUUUUGAAAUUUGUGUGAAUCACUAGUUUUUGAAUAACUUUACUAUAAAAAUAGAUUUUUGAGUGAUUAUUUUUUCCUGCUAUUUAAUAUUACUUUGUUUUAUCAUUAUAUUCAAAAACAGAUUUUUGUUAUUUUAGUUUCUAACACAAAAAUUCUUUAUGAUAAUUCUUUUUGCUAUUAAAGUUUCUAACAAAAAAUUCUUUAUGAAAAUUCUUUUUGCUUUUAAUGUUUUGAACAUAAAAUACUUUGAUAAUUUUGGUAGCAUAAAUUUUAUAUAAUUUUAGUUUCAAUAAUACUAGAGGUUUAUAAAUGUUUUUUGAAUUGAUUCCUUUUGCUAUUGGAGUUUUAUAAAAUCUUUUUAGUUGAUUCUUUUUGCUAUUGAAGGAUAUAAUAGUUUUCUUUUAGUUGAUCAUAACAGAAUAUUUCAUUUGAUUAUUUUUAGUUCAUUCUUUUUUCUAUUAGUUCAUUCUUUUUGCUAUUAGUUCAUUAUUUGAGCUAAAUGACCCUGAAAUUGAAAAGCACUACAAAUGAACUCUGAAAAGGCUGAAAGUUGGCAUGGUAUCAUUAUUUCACCCACGUAGCAUGUGCUAAAAAGUUGAGAGGGUUACGAUAAAAACUGGAUGUACUUCGUGUGCAAAAUGGACAAUCUCUUUCGAAGUAUCAGGGUUUCGGACGGAAACUCAUCUGUUACAAAGGAAUUCCAUUUUUUUGAACUUAUUUGAACUCCAGACUUUUUGUGUGUUCAAAAUGCACCAUUCAAAGCCACAUCAUUAAUUUUCAACCCUCUCUGACUUCAUUUGGUAUUUUUCAUGCCUGUACUGAUUUUUUUGAGCUAUAUGACCCUUAAAUAUAAAAGCACUACAAAUGAACUCUCAAAAGGUUGAAAGUUUACAUGGUAUCAUCAUUUCACCCACAUAGCAUGUGCUAAAAAGUUGAGAGGGUUACGUGCACUUCGUGUACAAAACAGACAACCUCUUUGGAAGUAUCAUGGUUCCGGACGAAAACUCAUCUGUUACAAACGGAUUUCAUUUGUUCACAUGUAACUGCAGUGAUAUUCUAGAUCAAAGGCAUCAUUAUAAUAGUUGUUGAUAGAAAGUCUUCACUUUUUCUUCGCUUGUGUCGUUUGCUUAUUGCGCCAUAAUCCUGGAUAAUCUUCAUCGUUUAAUGGGGUGCUUGGGUCAGCCUUGACUUUGAAGGGAGGAAUUUCAUGAACUUUAGACAUGUCUGUCUUGCCCUCCAAUCCCACGAUGUCUCUUUUACCUGAAAGAACUAUGUGGCGCUUUGGCUCAUCAUAUGAUGUAUUCGCUUCCUUAUCUUUUCUUUUUCUCGGUUUGGUAGACAUGUCCUUCACAUAGAAAACCUACGCCACAUCAUUGGCUAGGACGAAUGGUUCGUCUGUGUACCCUAGGUUGUUCAGAUCCACUGUUGUCAUUCCGUAUUGUGGGUCUACCUGUAACCCACCUUCCGACAGAUUGACCCAUUUGCACUUAAACAAAGGGACCUUAAUAUCAUAUCCAUAGUCAAGUUCCCAUAUGUCCACUAUGUAACCAUAAUAUGUGUCCUUUCCCCUCUUGGUUGCUGCAUCAAAGUGGACACCACAAUUUUGGUUGGUGCUCUUUUGAUCUGGGGCGAUCGUAUAAAAUGUAUUCCCAUCUAUCUCGUACCCUUUGUAAGUCAUUACAGUCGAAGAUGGUUCCCUAGCCAACGAGUACAGGUCAUCAGAAAUAGUGUUGUCACACCUGAGACGUGUUUUGAACCAACUGCCAAAAUUCUUGAUGUGUUCACAUGUAAUCCAGUCGUCACACUGGUCCGGGUGUUUGGAGCGCAGAAUGUUCUUGUGUUCAUCGACAUAUGGGGUCACCAAGGUAGAAUUAUGUAGAACCAUGUAGUGUGCUUGAGACCAAGAAUGCCUGUCCCUACAUAUUAUUGAUUCCCCUCCUAGCGUGCCUUUUCCAACCAGUCUCCCCUCAUACCGCGAUUGAGGAAGACCUAUCUUCUUAAGGUUAGGAAUGAAGUCAACACAAAACCCAAUGACAUCCUCUAUUUAAUGGCCCAUGGAGAUGCUUCCUUCUGGCCUAGCACGGUUACGGACAUAUUUCUUGAGGAAUCCCAUGAACCUCUCAAAGGGGAACAUAUUGUGUAGUAAUACAGGGGGGCAGAAAAACAAUCUCGUCGACUAGAUGAACUAGGACGUGCGUAAUCAUAUUGAAGAAGGAUGGUGGGAACACCAGCUCGAAACUAACAAGACAUUGCGCCACAUCACUCCUUAACCUUGGUAGGAUUUCUGGAUCAAUCACCUUCUGAGAGAUUGCAUUGAGGAAUGAACAUAGCUUGACAAUGGCUAAUCGAACGUUUUCCAGUAGAAGCCCCCUCAAUGCAACCGGAAGCAGUCGCGUCAUAAUCACGUGGUAGUCAAGAGACUUUAGGUUCUGGAACUUUUUCUCUGCAAUAUUUAUUAUUCCAUUUAUAUUCGACGAGUAGCCAGACGGGACCUUCAUACUGAGCAGGCAUUCAAAGAAGAUUUCCUUCUCUUCUUUGGUAAGAGCGUAGCUGGCAGGACCUUCAUACUGCUUUGGAGGCAUGCCGUCUUUUUCACGCAAACGUUGUAGGUCCUCCCAUGCCUCCGAUGUAUCGAUUGAAGAGCAUACCUCUAGGUCUUUCCGGUAGUGUUGGUCCCAUAAUAUAGAUUUCUUCUUCCACAUGGGUGCACGUCUCUCGACGUCAUUCGGAAUAGAUAGUCCGCCAGGACCCUUUCCGAAUAUUACUUUUAAAUCAUUGACCAUAGCAAGUACGUGAUCACCGGUACGCAUGGCGGGCUUCUUCCGGUCAUCUGCCUCGCCUUUGAAAUGCUUGCCUUUCUUUCGACAUUGAUGGUUGGUCGGAAGGAAUCAACGAUGUCCCAGGUACACAUUCUUCCUGCAUUUGUCCAGGUAUAUACUUUCGGUGUCAACUAAACAGUGCGUGCAUGCGUGGUAUCCCUUGUUUGUCUAUCCUGAAAGGUUACUGAGAGCAGGCCAAUCAUUGAUGGUGACAAACAACAAUGCAUGCAGGUCAAAUUCCCCCUGUUUGUUCUCAUCCCACGCAUGUAUACCGUUUUCAAUCCACAGUUGUAAAAGUUCUUCAACUAAUGGCCUUAGGUACACAUCAAAAUGCCGUUGCCAGGUUGCUUAGGGCCUUGGAUGAGAACUGGCAUCACAAUGAAGUUCCGCUUCAUGCAUUGCAAAGGAGGAAGGAUAUAGAUACAUAAAGUCACGAGCCAGGUGCUGUGAUUGCUGCUCUGCUCCCCAAAAGGAUUAAUGCCAUCCGCGCUGAAACGAAACCAUACGUUCCUUGCGUCACCUGCAAACUCCUCCUAGUACUUUCUCUUGAUUUUUCACUGCGACCCGUCAGCGGGUGCUGUCAACUUCCCGUCUUUCUUACUGUCCUCUCUGUGCCAUCUCAUCAACUUGGCAUGCUCUUUGUUUCUGAAUAGGCAUUUCAAUCAUCGUAUUAUAGGAGCAUACCACAUCACCAUGGAAGGAACCCUCUUCCGGGGGCGCUCGCCAUCAACAUCACUAGGGUCAUCUCGUCUGAUCUUAUACUGCAAUGUACCGCAUACCGGGCAUGCAUUCAAAUCCUCGUACGCACCACGGUACAGGAUGCAGUCAUUAGGGCAUGCAUGUAUGUUCUGCACCUCCAAUCCUAGAGGGCAUACAACCUUCUUUGUUGCAUACGUACUGUCGGGCGAUUCGUUAUCCUUUGGAAGCUUCUUCUUCAAUAUUUUCAGUAGCUUCUCAAAUCCUUUGUCAGGCACACCAUUCUCUGCCUUCCACUGCAGCAAUUCCUGUACGGUACCGAGCUUUGUGUUGCCAUCUUCGCAAUUGAGGUACAAACUUUUUUUGUGAUCCUCUAACAUGCGAUCGAACUUCAGCUUCUCCUUUUGACUUUCCCACUGUCUCCUUGCAUCAACAAUGACCCGGUGGAGAUAAUCAUCGGGCACAUUGUAUGGUUCCUCUUGAUCUUCAACAGCUUCCUCCGUUGAAGCAUCACCGUAUUCAGGGGGCACAUAGUUGUCAUCGUCCUCUUCUUCCUCGUUGUCUUCCAUCAUAACCCCUAUUUCUCAGUACUUGGUCCAAACAUUUGAGUGUGGCAUGAAACCCUUAUAAAGAAGGUGGGUGUGAAUGGUUUUUGAGUCAGAGUAAGACUUCAUAUUCCCACAUAUAGGGCAUGGACAACACAUAAAACCAUUCUGCUUGUUUGCCUCAGCCACUUCGAGAAAAUUAUGCACACCCUUAAUUGAUCCAACGGCAUAAUGAUACCAAGCCUUGGUAUGAAUGGUAUAUUUUCUAAUCUUUCUACUCUUCAAGCGCAUUGCAUCCAUCUUGAUCUUGUGAUCAUCGACGACAUCCGCAACAUGUAACUCCAAUAUCAUCUUCUCCUCCUCAAUAUUUUUAUUUUUUCCUUCAAGAAAUUUCCGGUUAACAUGCCUCCUAGAAAAAUAAAAUCUAUGUCACGUUGGUCGGCAUAAUUGUCGUAAACAAUAAAUGAACCAAAUAGUUAUAAAAGAUAAUAUACACCACAUCCGAAUCAUAGACAGGAUGAGAGCCGACCGGGCGGAUACCAAAACCAUCGCACUAUAUAAUACGAAGCAAUAAUAAAAGUAAGAAAAUUAUACAUGUAUCUAUCUAAACAUACAAGUAAGAAUUUUUUCCUUUCAGAAAUAAGAUAAGAACAAGAGGCUCACCACGGUGGUGCCGGCGACGAGAUCGGCACGGGCGAUCGACGGCGCUGAAGACGGGGACGGGACGUGACGAACGCUAAACCUAGACAAAUAUUGAGGAAAAUGGAGCUUGGAGAUCGAGCUUGGAGAGGAGAAAGCUCAAGUUGUGUGGCUCUGGUAUUCCAUCGAACACCUCAUGUGCAUAGGAGGUGAGCUAGAGCACCACAAAGCCCUCCCCUCGUCGGCCAGAAAAAUCAGAGCAGUGUGGAGUGCUCUGGUCGCCGGCGAGGGGGUAUAUAUAGGCACAUCAUUGGUUCCGGUUCAUGUCUUGAACCAGGACUAAAGGACACCCUUUGGUCCUAGUUCAAGCCACCAACCGGGCCCCACUGUGGUGGGCCAGAAGCGAGGCCCAUUGUCACCGGUUCAUCCCACCAACCGGGACCAAAGGGGCCAGACGAACCGGGACCAAUGCCCCCACAAGGCCCGGCAAGCCCCCUGGCCUCACGAACCGGGAUCAAUGCCCCCAUGGGUCCCGGUUCGUGACUGAACCAGGACUAAUGGACUUAUCUGGCCUAAACGAAAGCCCUGUUUUCUACUAGUGAUAGGUGUUCAAUCAAGUCCGCUAGUUCCUUUCUUUUCAUGUCACUUUCAUCAUUAGUCAUAGGCCCUUUCAUCACAUGUGCAAUCUCUUUCUGUACCCGUUUAACCUUCUUUUUCUGGGUUUUAACUACCUGACAAUCCUACUUAUGUAAGCUCUAAUGGAUCAUACGAAGCCUCUGUAGUAUGCCAUUCCCCUGCACAUUCAGGCCCUGUUUGGAAUGUCGUUUCUACUUUGAAUACGCUUGUAAAAGUUACAGGCCACCAUCCGUCGUUUUCAUUUCCCCCUGCAAAUCGCUCCUGGCCGGUAAGAUACACCCGUAAGAAAAAUACACUUGUAUAUGUUUACACCGAUUCCAAGCGCGGCCUCAAAGAUGAUUCAUCACAUGCUUGCAUGAACACUAGUGGGAAACAGUACUACAUUCCCUUUUAUUAGGCAGUAAUAAGAGGUACAAUUCUCCUUUUCUCUAUUGGUUCUUGAAAGAUACAAAAAUGCACAGCAAAUGCGAUUUUGCACUCUUGAGUACAUACAUAAAAAACAAUGGUAUCGCUAGCAAACAAUAUCCAUGAUGCUGAGAACUACAAAUUUAAUUUAUUACAUGCCUCAUGUAAUUACUUAAUCGUUAUUAAGGUACACACCAAAUCAAAACACAUGAACACCAGGAGAUGGUCGAAUAAAAACAGAUAAGCAAAUAGAUUAAUUAUAUUCUACAUAGAAAUUGUUAUGCAAAGACUUAGAUAACAAAAUUUGAGGUUAAUAUAGCAACCUAUCAGCCAGAAAUGUUACAUUCGUCAAAAAAUAUCUCGUCCAUCUGCUACAGAACUAAAAGCUGAGAAAUGACAAAGUGUUUGGCAACAGUGCAUGAAGUUCAGUACAGAAUGGCUAAUAGAGGUCGGAGAUGUCGUGAACAUGAGACUUGCUAAGAUAAGUAUGAUAACAAAAUAAUUUAUCAUACUUUUCGAGUUUCAAGAUCAAUCUUUUCACAUAGAUGACCGUUGAACAUAAAAGAUGGAGAUACAUAUACUUGGUGAUAAUGAGAAUCAGCUAACAAUACAAGAAGAAAGGAACACACACAACAUGUAGCAUAAAAGAGUUAUUGCCACUUGAGUGUUCAUUACCAACAACAGUCACUAACACUAUUGCUAUUGCCACUGUCAUUUAAAUCAAACCAAGCAGGGGAGGGGGGCAGAGGUAGCAGUGCUCACCAGAGAGGCUUGUAGGCAAUGCAGCGGUCGCAGUGCUGUUCAGACAACAUAGUCGCAUGACAGAUGAGGUGGCCACAGGAUGCACACCGCACUAGAGAUGCAGAAGAGGGGGUUGGGGUCAUCGUCGUCUAGACCAACGCAUGUGAGCACCAUCCAAGAGGCAGAGAGGGAGUGAGGGAGCGGGAUGUACGAAGGAGAAGAGCCACCGAAGACGCGCCGGCGACAGACACAACCCCGCAGCCGAAACCCUAGCCACUAGCAUACAAAUGUUAUCUAGACAAGUGUAGUGCAUAGAAAUGCUAAGUAGACAAGUGCAUACAGAAGACACUCUAUCUUACCAUCAUAUUGAUACAGAUCCAGCAAGCCAUUGUUAAAAAGGCAUAUUCAUCUACAAAUCCUGGUGCAUUUGUUGGGCCAUUUGGAUAACUAUGAUGCAGCCUUUUUGAGCUUGCAUCACAGAGUUUUUCCUUUAUAAAAUUUGCUGCCUUUUCUGCAACUUGAAGAUAUUCUACUGGCUGCAAAAAUACCCAGAAAUAUGGACGGUCAAGGAACAGAUUUACACGACACAAAUAAACGCAUUGAUGUAAAGCAGGUGAAGACAAAAAUCUAGUAAUUUUUGGAUGACUUUCUAAUAUAGAAGACUGUAGGAAAUUCUCCUACAGUCAUUCAAUGUUCAAAAGAGACAAAAAAUCCUCCACGACACAUGAAGGGGAGAUAGCCUUUUAUACACACAACAUCAUGGUGUCGCAUAACACAAUGGACAGUUCAUUUAAACAGUUUUAAACAAAAUUCAGGGGCUGCAUUCCCAGGGAUUCGGUUUGAACAAGUCCAACAUGUGUACAGAACAACUGAGCAAGAAGAAUAAGCUAAACAACCUACACAGUAAAGACUGGCUAUGGCUCUCCAGUGUUUAUGGUGUGGUUACAACUUACAAUUAGUCAAAAGAGUAAAUAGGUGCCACGAAUAUCUGAACUUAUCAGUAUGAAAACUGUUCCAGUUCGUUACUUUCACCCAUAAUUUCACCUGAUUUCAGCUGCACAUAGUUCAGUUUAUUAGAUGACUAAAAUGCUUAACAGGUGCUGAAAUUGAACAGAUCAACAGUUCAAUACUAAGUAUAACUCGACUAUACUACAUCCAUAUAUCUGAGUAUAGCACCAAUAAUUCAGCAACAAGAGAGAAAAUAGGAUAAGAGGAUGCCGUAGAGGAGGGAGGGAGAGGUACAAGUGCUCAGGUUCGUAGGCCAUGCAGUGGUCGCAGUGCAGAUUGGCCACCGCCGUCGCGCGGCAAGGGGGUUGCCACAAGAUGCACGGCAGUGACGGAGACGUGGCAGAGGAGGUUGGGGUCGCCGCCGUCCAGCCCAAAACGCGCCAACACACCGAGCUAGGGGGCGUCAUCCAGGAGGUGGAGUGGGGCGAGGGGCGCGAGUUGCGAUGGAGAGCAGCCGUCGGAGACGCGCCGGCGAUGGACGCGCCGCCGCAAAAGAAUCCCUAGCCACGGGCUAGGGGUCAUGCGCGAACGCCGGAGACCGGGAGCGGCGGAUCGACCAAUACUGGAGGACGGAGGGGUCGGAUCGCAGCUCGUCGGCGUGCUGAGCGAUGGCGGAUGUCAUCAGAAAGUUCGAGAGAGAGAGGGAUGGAUGGGUGGGAUUCGGCGGAUCUGACAGCUACCGAAGCUGUGAUGCGAGGUGAGAGGAGGGGAGGGGGACACCCGACGAGGAGCUGUGGGAUAAGGGAGGAGAAGAGGUGGUGGGUGGCGGCGGUGGGGAUUCAGGAGGGGGCGGUGCGAAGGAGGGAGAGAUGGAGAAGUUAGGGGCGAUGGUGUUAGGGUUAGCCCUUUUAUAUGAUGAACGGUUACGCGGGCUUUAGCGGGCUUAGGCGGGCCUGCGGAACUGUACCAGGCCGUCCAUGACGAUUUUCAAAAAUGUCAUGGCGAAUCCGUCAUGAAUCAACAGGUUUCUUGUAGUUUACCAAAUUUUCCCAAGAUAAUUUUCACCAAUGGCUAAUCUAGAACUUCGGAAACAAAAUAGUAAACUACAUGUAACACUACUUUCAACAGUCAUAAUAUUGAUUUGUUGCUUACAUAGGUUUUUACACCCAGACAAGUUUACUCAACAACGAGACAUUAUCUGCAUGGUAAUGACCACACAAUUUGACAAUUAGAACCACAUAACAUGGAAGAAGAUGCUUCAAAGUUGAAAGAUGUAAAGAGGAGCAGGAGCAAGCAGACACUUCAUUUCUCUCAACAACUUAUUA
rnacentral:lncRNA from 1 species